AGUGCAGUGACGAGAUGAAAACACUGGAUGUGUUUUUUGAGCAGUGGACGUUACCGUCAGGUUUCGCCGUGAGCUUAAUUUUUAAAAACGACUUCUCCUUCUUCUGAGCACU